AUUCACAGGUCUGAGUUAAUAAAAUGUCAGCCCCAUUCUGAUCUUAAAGGUUUAAACAAGGUGUGAUAUUAUAUUUGUGCUCCGCCAUUUUUAAAGAGCUGCUUAUAAAGCAGCAGGUAUAAACCUAGAGAGGAAUGUAAAUCGUGGAAUGUCGAUCUUGUUUCUGCCUGCUUGGCAAACAUUGCUGCUAUUACAUUCUUCUUGUGAGCCAUAACGCAGACAUGUGGAUCUUCACACUGUUU